AAUAAGAUAGGAUAAUUUAGUCCGAGAGGUCCAUACCCUCUAGGUGUUUUCUCUUGUUG
rnacentral:tRNA from 1 species